rnacentral:rRNA from 1 species
AGGUGAUGGACAACAGGUUGAUAUUCCUGUACUACCGAUAACCGUUUGAGAGAAGGGAUGACACAGUAGGAUAAGCUAAGCACACUGUUGGUUAUGUGUGCCCAAGCAUUGAGGCAGUCAAAGUAGGCAAAUCCGCUUUGAUAAUGCUGGGGUGUGAUGGGGAGCGAAAUUUAGUAGCGAAGUAGCUGAUUUCACACUGUCAAGAAAAGUCUCUAUCGAGGUUAAAGGUACCCGUACCGCAAACCGACACAGGUGGGUGAGGAGAGUAUCCUAAGGCCAGCGAGAGAACUGUUGUUAAGGAACUCGGCAAAAUGACCCCGUAACUUAGGGAUAAGGGGUGCCACCAUCAGGUGGCCGCAGAGAAUAGGCCCAAGCGACUGUUUACCAAAAACAUAGGUUUCUGCUAAGUCGCAAGACGAUGUAUAGGAGCUGACGCCUGCCCGGUGCUGGAAGGUUAAGGGGAUCUGUUAGAGCAAUCGAAGCAGUGAACUUAAGCCCCAGUAAACGGCGGCCGUAACUAUAACGGUCCUAAGGUAGCGAAAUUCCUUGUCGGGUAAGUUCCGACCCGCACGAAAGGCGUAACGAUUUGGGCACUGUCUCA